GACGAACGCUGGCGGCGUGCUUAACACAUGCAAGUCGAACGGUGAAGCCUUCGGGUGGAUCAGUGGCGAACGGGUGAGUAACACGUGAGCAAUCUGCCCUUGACUCUGGGAUAACUUCGGGAAACCGGAGCUAAUACCGGAUAUGACAUCUGGCCGCAUGGUCUGGGUGUGGAAAGAUUUAUCGGUCAAGGAUGAGCUCGCGGCCUAUCAGCUUGUUGGGGGGUAAUGGCCCACCAAGGCGACGACGGGUAGCCGGCCUGAGAGGGCGACCGGCCACACUGGGACUGAGACACGGCCCAGACUCCUACGGGAGGCAGCAGUGGGGAAUAUUGCGCAAUGGGCGGAAGCCUGACGCAGCGACGCCGCGU
rnacentral:rRNA from 1 species